rnacentral:rRNA from 1 species
CACGAAGUUAGCCGGGGCUUCUUCUCUGGGUACCGUCAUUAUCUUCCCCAGUGAAAGUGCUUUACAACCCUAAGGCCUUCAUCACACACGCGGCAUGGCUGGAUCAGGCUUGCGCCCAUUGUCCAAUAUUCCCCACUGCUGCCUCCCGUAGGAGUCUGGGCCGUGUCUCAGUCCCAGUGUGGCUGAUCAUCCUCUCAGACCAGCUAUGGAUCGUCGCCUUGGUGAGCCGUUACCUCACCAACUAGCUAAUCCAACGCGGGUUGAUCUGGUGGCGAUAAAUCUUUCCCCCUAAGGGCUUAUACGGUAUUAGCUCAAGUUUCCCUGAGUUGUUCCGUACCACCAGGCACAUCCCCACGCGUUACUCACCCGUCUGCCGCUCCUCUUGCGAGGCGCUCGACUUGCAUGUGUUAAGCCUGCCGCCAGCGUUCGUUCUGAGCCAGGAUCAAACUCU